CCACUAACCGGUCUCCAGGGUCCCGACCCACCGGCUCCCUGCGCCAGAGCCCAGGGAAUCUGUCGGAGUGCGACCAGCGUCUGGCGUGCACGCGCAGACAGAAGACCCCCGCCCCCGCCCAACAACGGCCCAAUGUUCUUGCUGUGUGAGCCACAGAAUGUGCCGGUACAGAGAUUGACCACCGCAGUGUCUCCCAAGUCUUUGUCAGGGCUGACCUCGACCUGAAAGACUGACCUUUUCAGAUGAAGGGAAGAGCCUUGCUGCUAUCACAACCCUUAAAGCCGAGGUUAAGGAGCCAAGGUGGUAGUUCCCGUGAGCUUCUGAUAAUAUCCAUUCUAACCAUCCCACCUACGAUUUUCGGCGGAAGAUGGUGACAGGGCUUUGGAAGGGGACCCAGGAAUCCGCAUUUUCAAGCACAGCAGAGCAUUUACUAAAAAGAACUGCUUCCAAUCAUGAAUCCUUCCUCUGUCCCUGUGAGACAUAUGUGUAUGGAUCUCCUGCAACCCAGUAAUGUCUUUCUCAAGGACCUGAGCCCCGUUCCUCCAAAAGGAAAUCAGGAAGGAUCGGGCCUCAGUCCCAGUCCCUGUGGGGAGACACAGCCGGCCUAGUGGCACUUCCACUGACCAACCUUUUGUGAUUUCUCACUUCCCUGACUCUACCUGAGCCCCCGCGUGCCCCCUCUCCCUCCUCACCUCAGCACAGAUGGGAUGGAGCUCAGAUUUCCCUUGCCGUCAGUACUUACAGAAUAAAACCUGCUUU